rnacentral:misc_RNA from 1 species
GGAAGGAUCAUUACCGAAUUGUCAAACACGGGUUGUUGCUGGCCCCCGAACGGGGCAUGUGCACGCUCUGUUUACACAUCCACUCACACCUGUGCACCCUCUGUAGUUCUGUGGACCGGGAGACGUCGUCUUCCUUCCGUAGCUCUACGUCUUUACACACACACCGUAGCGAUGUCUCAUGGAAUGUUUUUUCGCGUUUAACGCAA